GUUUCCGUCUGCCAACACACAAACUCAUAUAUUGUAAUCUGAAUGUAAAUUGAUGUAACGCAUCUAUGAACUAAGUUUCAACAACGGAUCUCUUGGCUCUCGCAUCGAUGAAGAACGCAGCGAAAUGCGAUAAGUAAUGUGAAUUGCAGAAUUCAGUGAAUCAUCGAAUCUUUGAACGCACCUUGCGCUCCUUGGUAUUCCUUGGAGCAUGCCUGUUUGAGUAUCAUGAAAUUAUCAAAACAAGUCUUUUGUUCAUUCAACUGGCUCUUUGUUUUGGACUUGGAGGUCUUGCAGAUUCACGUCUGCUCCUCUUGAAUGCAUUAGCUGGAUCUCAGUGAGCUCGGUUCCACUCGGCGUGAUAAGUAUCACUCGCUGAGGACACCCUCUAAAAAAAGGUGGCCGGGAUUGCAGAUGAACCGCUUCCAAUAGUCUGUUAGCUCAGACAGCUUUACUUUAUGAUCUGAUCUCAAAUCAGGUAGGACUACCCGCUGAACUUAAGCAUAUCAAUAAG
rnacentral:rRNA from 1 species